UGGGGUGUAGCUCAACUGGCAGAGCACCGGAUUUUGGAUCCGGGGGCUCCUGGUUCGAAUCCAGGCACCCCAG
rnacentral:tRNA from 1 species